rnacentral:rRNA from 1 species
UACGUAGGUGGCAAGCGUUGUCCGGAAUUAUUGGGCGUAAAGCGCGCGCAGGCGGUCCUUUAAGUCUGAUGUGAAAGCCCACGGCUCAACCGUGGAGGGUCAUUGGAAACUGGGGGACUUGAGUGCAGGAGAGAAGAGUGGAAUUCCACGUGUAGCGGUGAAAUGCGGUGAGAUGUGGAGGAACACCAGUGGCGAAGGCGGCUCACUUGGCCGUGAUGAACGC